rnacentral:rRNA from 1 species
GGGGGAAUAUUUGACAAUGGGCGCAAGCCUGAUCCAGCCAUGCCGCGUGUGUGAAGAAGGCCUUUUGGUUGUAAAGCACUUUAAGCGCGGAGGAGGCUACUUGGAUUAAUACUCUAGGAUAGUGGACGUUACUCGCAGAAUAAGCACCGGCUAACUCUGUGCCAGCAGCCGCGGUAAUACAGAGGGGGCGAGCGUUAAUCGGAUUUACUGGGCGUAAAGCGGGCGUAGGCGGCUUCUUAAGUCGGAUGUGAAAUCCAUGAGCUUAACUUAGGAAUUGCAUUCGAUACUGGGAAGCUAGAGUAUGGGAGAGGAUGGUAUAAUUCCAUGUGUAGCGGUGAAGUGCGUAGAGAUCUGGAGAAAUACCGCUGGCGAAGGCAGCCAUCUGGCCUAAUACUGACGCUGAGGUACGAAAGCAUGGGGAGCAAACAGG